AGCCUCCACGUCAGAUGUUCCUCAAUGAAUCCACCAUUAGCAGGUUUGGGAUCCACUGCUGGAUGCUUAAGAGAAGCUCGUGUAACUGGAUUUCUGUCCACAGCCAAUUAGGCUCAGCUUUAAAAAAAACCCACAAACAAAUGAACUCUUUGCAGCCCUGUGCUGGGAGCUGUCAGGAUUUUUACGUGUUCAGAUGUGGAGGUUGAGGGGGAAGUGGCAGCAGCAGCAGCAGCAGAUGGUGCAGAUCAGAUCGAUGCGAUCGCUAUUGCUGGUUUUGCUCUCUCUCUCUUGUUUCCCUGUGGUUGCUGCUGGAGCUGAGGGCGAUGGCUGACUCUGAGAGCGCUAAGGCACUAGCCGUCAGGGAACGAAUGUGUUUGGGGACCUGAAUCAGCAGGAUAUUCUUGAUUUUCACAACACUGUUUCCAUUUAUCCAGCUCACACAAGCGAGGAACAGCUGCAUUUGCGUCCAGCUACUGGACUGGGAAGUUAAAGGGAUUCACUGUGCUCUUGGACAUCCAAUUGAACAGACUAGAGCUGGGGGCGUACAUCAAGGGUUAUUUUGCAAGAAGGAAAGAAGACAUGGGAAGAGACAAGGACUUGGAACAAAGACAUUUUGGACUUGGGUUUUGAAUUUCCAUGACCUAUUUGGAUUCCAUUCUUCUGAUUUAUGGCUGUGGAUUUAUUGCCCAGUGUGCUGUUGCUCUGUGGCUCUCUUCGGUGACGGGUAUUCUUGGGUGGAUAAUACGGAUUACGUUGUUAUUGCUUAAGAAUACGCGUAGUUGAGGAGAGUAUCUUCAGCAAAGGAAGCUCUAUGUCUCCAGCACCAAGGGAGCCCCUACUCUGGUGGCCAAGGUAGCACAUUUUCAUACAUUACUGAUAUAUAUGUGAUUUUAACAAAAACUCUGCUUCAUACAUGUUUCAGCUGAGGGCAUUUUAAACGGGUAGUGUAUUGUAUUCUCCCUUUUAAACUUCAGCUGAAAGCAAGUAACACUGUUCUUUUUUUUUUUUUUAAUUUCUUUUUUAUAUAUUUUUUUCCUUUGUUUUAUGGAAUAGUGUGGCAGACACUGUUGAUAUUUAUGCAUGUUGAUAUCAGUUUUUUUAAAGAGUACAAUUUUAAAAUGUAAAAACCUUGGAGGCCUCUUGUGUAAGCUUGAUUUUGUGGAUGAAUAAUGCAUAGCUUCAGAUUUACACCAAGGCAACGCCUUAAAAUGCUGACAACCAGGAUCCUCUGGGAGUCAAGUGACAUAUAAUCCUUCUAUGGUUGGGGAAUUUGCAAUGGGAUCUUGCUCUGUGGCCUCUGUCUUUGCCCAGGGCCUAAUCUCUGCCCUACAUUUAUUACCCUUUGCCGUUGCAUCUGGAUCCCUCACUCCUUUACUGGCACACAAAACAGGUCCCGCUGGAGGUGUCAGACCUGCAUCCUGCAGUGUAGACUGCUUUAUUUUGCCUGCUGGCAUUGUGGGGGUUAACAUUGCUGUGUUGCACUGGUCGAAAAGAUGUUGGGUUGUGUUUGGUCGAACCAUGGAUUUCAAAUUGCCAUUCUUAAACUAUUGGAAAUCUUUGUAACACGUUAAUGUCACUCCAGGUGGCCAAUAAAUGCUUUGAUACUUU